rnacentral:rRNA from 1 species
GAGUUUGAUCAUGGCUCAGGAUGAACGCUGGCGGCGUGCCUAACACAUGCAAGUCGAACGGUCUGGAGGUCGGAAGCCAGAGAGCAGAGUGCCAGAAAAAAUGAAGAAAUCGCAUUUCGCGAUUUCCACAUUGAAAUCUGCUUUCCGGUUUCCGGCUUCUAGAAAGUGGCGGAUGGGUGAGUAACGCGUGGGCAACCUACCCUGUACAGGGGGAUAACAAUGGGAAACCAUUGCUAAUACCCCAUGAUACCUUUUAAGGGCAUCCUUGAAAGGUCAAAGAAUUUCGGUAUAGGAUGGGCCCGCGUCUGAUUAGCUAGUUGGUAGGGUAAUGGCCUACCAAAGCAACGAUCAGUAGCCGGCCUGAGAGGGUGAACGGCCACACUGGAACUGAGACACGGUCCAGACUCCUACGGGAGGCAGCAGUGGGGAAUAUUGCACAAUGGGGGAAACCCUGAUGCAGCAACGCCGCGUGAGCGAUGAAGGCUUUCGAGUCGUAAAGCUCUGUCCUAAGGGAAGAUAAUGACGGUACCUUAGGAGGAAGCCCCGGCUAACUACGUGCCAGCAGCCGCGGUAAUACGUAGGGGGCAAGCGUUAUCCGGAAUUAUUGGGCGUAAAGGGUGCGUAGGCGGCCUUAUGGGUCAGAGGUUAAAUACUACGGCUUAACCGUAGUAUGCCUUUGAAACUAUAGGGCUUGAGUGCAGGAGAGGAGAGUGGAAUUCCUAGUGUAGCGGUGAAAUGCGUAGAUAUUAGGAGGAAUACCAGUGGCGAAGGCGACUCUCUGGACUGCAACUGACGCUAGGGCACGAAAGCGUGGGUAGCGAACAGGAUUAGAUACCCUGGUAGUCCACGCCGUAAACGAUGAGUGCUAGGUGUUGGGGGUCAAACCUCGGUGCCGCAGUUAACGCAUUAAGCACUCCGCCUGGGGAGUACGUUCGCAAGAAUAAAACUCAAAGGAAUUGACGGGGACCCGCACAAGCAGCGGAGCAUGUGGUUUAAUUCGAAGCAACGCGAAGAACCUUACCUGGACUUGACAUCCCUCUGACCGUUUCUUAAUCGAGAUUUUCCCUUCGGGGACAGAGGAGACAGGUGGUGCAUGGUUGUCGUCAGCUCGUGUCGUGAGAUGUUGGGUUAAGUCCCGCAACGAGCGCAACCCUUGUCUUUAGUUGCCAUCAAGUAAAGUUGGGCACUCUAGAGAGACUGCCAAGGUAAACUUGGAGGAAGGUGGGGAUGACGUCAAAUCAUCAUGCCCUUUAUGUCCAGGGCUACACACGUGCUACAAUGGCCGAUACAACGGGCAGCUAAGGAGCAAUCCGGAGCAAAUCCUACAAAAUCGGUCCCAGUUCGGAUUGUGGGCUGAAAUUCGCCCACAUGAAGUCGGAGUUGCUAGUAAUCGCGAAUCAGCAUGUCGCGGUGAAUGCGUUCCCGGGUCUUGUACACACCGCCCGUCACACCACGGAAGUUGGUUGUACCAGAAGUUGCUGGGCUAACCCGCAAGGGAGGCAGGUACCUAAGGUACGAUCGGUAAUUGGGGUGAAGUCGUAACAAGGUAGCCG